rnacentral:misc_RNA from 1 species
UUAAAUAAAAAUCGGUGUUGUUGCUGCCUUUCGUAGUGACGCGUCGGAAUUGAGUCGUCUUAUCUUCGGCUAAGUGACUUAAAAUUUUAUAUGAUUUUCCGAACGUAUUUAAAUUGCUUACUUACGUUUGAGAUAUCGAAUAUUUUAUUAGGUUCGGUCAUCCUUAUGACUCGCGCCUAUAAUUUUUUCAUU